GUACGCUCCUCGCUGGCCUCCCGGUCCUUAAGCGCGUCUCUCUGCCCCUGUCCGUCUUCCUCCUCUCCCUCUCUCUCUCCAUAUCUCCCGUCACUUUGCUCUCUCUCGAAGGCAACAUCGAACACUCUUCCAUCUCUCUCUCUCUCUCUCUCUCUCUCUCUCUCUCUAUCAAUCCCUGUGUUUUUGUGCGUGACUUGGGAGUCAAGACUUCGUGCAGAAGGAAACUCGUUGACAUCGCGCCAUCGAGAGACUACAACGGGAGCGUCCGGUUCUCGGAGGUUUUUGGUCGCCUAUUCUACUCCGAAACUCCGGUUUGGCCUUCUCCUUGUAGUGUCUGGUGACUCUGAAAUUACGAAGUUAUAUAGACUUCUCCACGUGUGGAAAUGUCAAGCUUUGUUGGUGUUCUUGUGUCCGAUCCAUGGCUACAGAGCCAAUUCACUCAGGUUGAGCUCCGCAGCCUAAAAUCGAAAUUCACCUCAAUAAAGAACCAAAAAGGUACAGUCACUGUUGGAGAUUUGCCACCUUUAUUAGUGAAGUUGAAAGCUUUUAGUGAAACCUUCUCUGAGGAGGAGAUUGGGGUAAUAUUGGCCGAGUUGAAUUUGGGCAUGAGCAAUGAGAUUGAUUUUGAAGAAUUCCUUAGGACCUAUGUGAGUUUGCAUGCUCGAGAUGCAUCUAAUAAUGGCAGUUCAAAGAACUCUUCUUCAUUUCUCAAGGCUACCACGACCACCCUCCUCCACACGAUUAGUGAAUCAGAAAAGGCAUCUUAUGUUGCUCACAUAAACAGCUAUCUCCGAGAUGACCCAUUUCUGAGGCAAUUCCUACCAAUAGAUCCAGGGACAAAUGAUCUGUUUAAUCUUGCAAGAGAUGGAGUUCUUCUGUGCAAGCUCAUCAAUGUUGCUGUGCCUGGGACAAUUGAUGAGCGAGCUAUCAAUACCAAGCGAGUGCUCAAUCCAUGGGAGAGGAAUGAGAAUCAUACUCUGUGUCUCAACUCAGCAAAGGCAAUUGGUUGUACUGUGGUCAAUAUAGGCACGCAAGACUUAGUCGAAGGAAGAUCGCAUCUGGUGCUUGGAUUGAUUUCUCAGAUUAUAAAGAUACAAUUGUUAGCCGAUCUCAACCUCAAGAAGACACCUCAGCUCGUGGAAUUGGUAGAUGAUAGCAAGGAUGUUGAGGAGCUCAUGGGUUUAGCCCCUGAGAAGGUUUUAUUGAAAUGGAUGAACUUUCAUCUCAAGAAAGCAGGCUAUAAGAAAACUGUUUCGAAUUUCACUUCUGAUGUAAAGGAUGGAGAGGCAUAUGCAUAUCUACUGAAUGUUCUUGCUCCAGAACACUGCAGUCCAGCCACACUAGAUGCAAAAGAUCCAAAUGAGAGGGCAAAACUGAUACUUGAUCACGCUGAGAGAAUGGACUGCAAAAGAUACUUAACCCCGAAAGAUAUUGUCGACGGCUCAGCAAAUUUAAAUCUCGCGUUUGUUGCACAAAUAUUUCAUCAAAGAAAUGGCCUAUCUACAGACAGCAAAAGUGUUACAUAUGCAGAGAUGAUGACUGAUGAUAUUCAGACAUCUAGAGAAGAAAGAUGCUUCCGCCUUUGGAUUAAUAGUCUGGGUAUUGCUAGCUAUGUCAACAAUGUCUUCGAGGAUGUCAGAAAUGGAUGGGUACUUCUGGAAGUGCUUGACAAGGUGUUUCCUGGGUCAGUUAACUGGAAGCAGGCAUCAAAACCUCCAAUCAAGAUGCCUUUCAGAAAAGUAGAAAACUGCAAUCAAGUAAUAAGGAUUGGAAAGCAGUUGAAGUUUUCUCUGGUGAAUGUAGCUGGAAAUGACGUUGUUCAGGGAAAUAAGAAGCUUAUACUCGGAAGCUCAAGUUUGUAUGCAUCUUUUUCAGCUUUCCUGUGGCAGUUAAUGAGAUUUAACGUGCUUCAACUUUUAAAGAACUUGAGAUUCCAUUCCCAUGGAAAGGAGAUCACAGAUGCCGAUAUCCUGAUUUGGGCGAAUAAGAAAGUCAAGAGCACGGGAAGAACUUCUCAGAUAGAGAGCUUCAAGGAUAAGAGUUUAUCUAAUGGAAUAUUCUUCCUGGAGCUUUUGAGUUCAGUGGAACCAAGGGUGGUCAAUUGGAAUGUUGUAACAAAAGGCGAAAGUGCGGAAGAAAAGAAGUUGAAUGCAACGUACAUAAUCAGUGUUGCAAGAAAGCUUGGCUGUUCCAUCUUCUUGCUACCUGAGGACAUCAUGGAGGUAAACCAGAAGAUGAUGCUCACUCUAGCAGCCAGCAUCAUGUACUGGAGUCUGCAACAGCCCGUGGAGGACGUGGAGUCAUGUCCCAGCCCUGCCGAGUCAACCAUCACUGUCGCUACUCCCGAUGCCUCCCCAGCACCAUCCAUAAAUGAGGAAGACGAGAGCUCCUCCUUGAGUGGUGAUGUUUCAAACCUGACCAUUGACGAUGAUGUCUCCGAUACGACGACAGUCUCCUCCCAACUUGACAAUGAGGAGACUCCUGCGUGUGAAUGACCGAUGAGUACAGGUAGGAUAUAGGAUCGUGAAUAUUUACGCCGGUCACUCAGGGAGAAGUCCCCGUCUUUCCUUUCGGCUUCAAACAUGAAUCACAACCAACAUCCCUCUCGGACAUCAUUUCCUCAGUCAGAGAAGAGAAUGCAGAAGAAAUACAAACCGCAAAAGAGGCAGUCAGGAAAAACUGAUGAAGCAAACGAAUGAUGUACAUUCCUUGAACCGCCCAAAAGUUUGGCUUUCCCCUCCGAGAUGGAAAGAGCCAUUUUGCUUCCUCCACAGCAUGCUUCUGGAUCGGAGCUCUUCUGGUUUCGACCUUCCUGCACGUUGAAAAGAUUGUACGACCCUACACCUAAUGCAUCGAAUUGAAACUUCCAAUUCAAUUCAAUCGUUUUUAUGUGAUCGAGUUUCUAUCA